GGACAAGCAGUUUUCAGCUGAAGAAAUUUCUUCCAUGGUCCUCAUCAAGAUGCGUGAGAUCGCUGAGGCUUACCUAGGAGUAACUAUUAAGAAUGCCGUUGUCACUGUGCCUGCUUACUUCAAUGAUUCCCAGAGGCAGGCAACCAAGGAUGCUGGUGUUAUUGCUGGUCUUAAUGUGAUGCGUAUCAUCAACGAGCCAACAGCAGCUGCAAUUGCCUAUGGUCUUGACAAGAAGGCUACCAGUGUCGGUGAGAAGAACGUGCUUAUCUUUGACCUCGGUGGUGGCACUUUUGAUGUCUCUCUCCUUACCAUUGAGGAGGGUAUUUUUGAGGUCAAGGCCACAGCUGGUGACACUCACCUUGGUGGGGAGGACUUUGACAACCGUAUGGUGAACCACUUUGUCCAAGAGUUCAAGAGGAAGCACAAGAAGGAUAUCAGUGGAAACCCCAGGUCUUUGAGGAGGCUCAGGACUUCAUGUGAGAGGGCGAAGAGGACCCUUUCUUCCACUGCCCAAACCACCAUCGAGAUUGAUUCACUCUUCGAGGGAGUUGAUUUCUAUUCCACCAUCACCAGGGCCAGGUUUGAGGAGCUCAACAUGGACCUCUUCAGGAAGUGCAUGGAGCCAGUGGAGAAGUGCCUGAGGGAUGCCAAGAUGGACAAGAGCACCAUCCAUGAUGUCGUGCUUGUUGGUGGUUCCACCAGAAUCCCCAGAGUUCAGCAGCUGUUGCAGGACUUCUUCAACGGGAAGGAGCUCUGCAAGAGCAUCAACCCUGAUGAAGCCGUUGCCUACGGUGCUGCCGUCCAGGCUGCAAUCCUCAGUGGUGAGGGGAACGAGAAGGUGCAGGACCUUCUCCUCCUUGAUGUCACCCCACUGUCUCUUGGUCUUGAGACUGCUGGAGGAGUCAUGACUGUGCUCAUCACCCGGAACACCACCAUCCCCACCAAGAAGGAGCAGGUCUUCUCCACCUACUCCGACAACCAGCCUGGUGUGCUCAUCCAGGUUUUUGAGGGUGAGAGGACAAGGACCAGGGACAACAACCUGCUUGGCAAGUUUGAGCUCUCCGGCAUCCCGCCUGCACCCAGGGGUGUUCCCCAGAUCACUGUCUGCUUCGACAUUGAUGCCAACGGUAUCCUGAAUGUCUCUGCCGAGGACAAGACCACUGGCCAGAAGAACAAGAUCACUAUCACCAACGACAAGGGCAGGCUGAGCAAGGACGACAUUGAGAAGAUGGUCCAGGAUGCAGAGAAGUACAAGUCUGAGGAUGAGGAGCACAAGAAGAAGGU
rnacentral:lncRNA from 1 species